CGCAUCUGUGCAUGCAGCAUAUCAAUAGCGGAGGAAAAGAAACUAACAAGGAUUCCCCUAGUAACGGCGAGUGAAGCGGGAAGAGCUCAAAUUUGAAAUCUUAAAGGGUUUCCCUUUACGAAUUGUAGUUUAAAGAAGUGUUUUCUGUUGAGGUUUUGGUAAAAGUUCUUUGGAAUAGGACAUCAUAGAGGGUGAGAAUCCCGUAUUUGACCUUUACUUUCAACUUUGUGAUACACUUUCAAAGAGUCGGAUUGUUUGGGAAUGCAGUCCAAAAUGGGUGGUAAAUUUCAUCUAAAGCUAAAUAUUGGCGAGAGACCGAUAGCGAACAAGUACCGUGAGGGAAAGAUGAAAAGAACUUUGAAAAGAGAGUUAAACAGUACGUGAAAUUGUCAAAAGGGAAGCGUUUGACACCAGUGUUGUUUUUCUGAAAAUCAAUUAAAGAACUGUUUAUGCUAAGUUGUUUAGACUUUAUCAGCUAAUCUGCUUAGUUUUGAGCUUUUCUUUAAUGCACUUUUCAGUUAACAAGUCAACAUCAAUUUCUUUUGCUGUAAAAAAGCUUGAGGAAGGUGGCUUGAGAUUCGUCUUAAGUGUUUAUAGCCUCUUGCCUAUGCAGUCGGAGAGAUUGAGGUCUGCAGCGUAGAUCCUUCGGGGCUAAAUGCAUUUGUGCUAAGUUAUAGCAUUUUAUAGACAACUUGUUGACUAUGAUUUGUCUUGUAGCUUACUCGCUUAUGUUAUUUUACCUACGCUUAGGAUGUUGAAGAUGUAGCACAUCA
rnacentral:rRNA from 1 species